rnacentral:pre_miRNA from 1 species
UGACAAAUGUUAUGAAGGAACUAUUGGUGUGAUGUGUUCUACUCGUAACCCAUAUCACAGCCGAUAGUUACUUCACUACGUCUGUCG